AAUCUGGGUGUGUGCAACAGGGAAUCGAACCUGCAUCCUUCUUGUCUGUGGGACCAAGGGUGACAGAGACCAGGAGGGUAUGAUUUGAAUUUAAGCGAGUUAUACCAGUAAGGUACAUUGAUUUCCCCUUUAGGAAACCUGUGGUUAACCCUUUUUUGGUCAUAGAUUCUUUCAAGAAAUCAAUGGGCCAUUUUCCCAGAAAAAUUAUUGACCAUCUUGCAUUUUAUCAGUGGUUUAUGAACUUCCUAAAGUCACUCAUAUGGACUGCCCAUUCCCCAUGACCAUUGCCUUAAAUCUUCCCAUCCUGGGUCAAGUGCUACAAGAACCUGUUUAAGGACCUGUGAUUUAGGUGAACAUUUUUUUUCCCCCUCGUUUCCUGAUCUGAGUUGAAGCUUGUAAUUAUUAAAGUCUGGUUCAGCAGCAGUGUUCUGUUUAGUGUGAAGAUACUUUUGCUUCCUGACUUGCUGUUGCAAGUGGACUUGAUGAUACAUUGUAUUUAGUUUAGCCGUAUGAAAUUGCUGAUACUGUUUUUGAUCUAUUGAAAUGGCUGUUUCAAUGGUUCUGAUUGCUAAAUUACCUUUCAUGCUGUUCACAGAUUGUGUCAUGUAUGUCACUCUAUACUACCUCUAUCUAGUUAUUAGAGGACAAGAAAGGAUACAGUCCUUACAAAGCAGCCUUAGGACUGGAGAAUGCAGUUGCAGUGCUGUCUGAAAUAGUGAAGGGUUUAUUUCUAAAACCUAGGUUGUCUCUUCAUUCCCAAUCUUGUCAUGUACUGUUAAGAAUUCACUUUUAUCUUUACUGCUCCCUGUUGCUAUAGAAUCUCUAGUUGUUAUAAAAUUGUCACACCCACAGAUUACUUAUUGUAGGUUUUUUAUAAUGAAGUGUGGAGCAAAGCACAGAACUGACAUCUUGUCCCUGAUAAUUCAUGCAUUGGUAAAGAUACAAUGCUUAUGUAAUAUUCCUACUAACAAUGUAUACACAACUCUGGACACAAGAAAAUCACAUGAAUCCAAACAAAGGGCCAUUCUGCAAAACAAAUGGCCUGUACCCUUCAAAAAUCUCAAUGUCAUGAAAGGAAAAAAAGGCAAGGGAACUAUUCUUAGAAAAAAGGAGAUAUAACUAAAUGCCAUGUGUGAUCUUUGAUGUGAGCCUGAUGGAAAACAGAGGAUAUUAUUGAGACAAUUAGGUAACUUAAUAUGGGCUGUGUGUUAGAUAGUAGUAUUAUAUGUUAAAUUUUCUGAUUUUUAUAGUUUUGAGUUAUGAAGCAGGGAG